rnacentral:lncRNA from 1 species
GCAGCUCCUUGUGUAGUUCCAAACCUCUUUGUCCAAGAGCUUCACUACAAAAAAAAAAAAAAAUUUCCCUCCUCCUCUUCCCCCUUGGAGGAUCAGGUCCAUCUCUGUGUCUGCCCAUGAGUGUGGGCCCCCAGCCCCUAGGAAAUGGACAUCAGUAUCCAGAACAUCCUGAGCUUUUGCUUUGGACGCUUUCUAGGGUCCAAGAACAGCCAGCCUUUCCUGGCCAAGAUUGAAGGCCCUCUGCUGCAGAUCAUGGGCCGCCCCUCAUCAGAGGCAGAAGAUGCCCUUCUGGAGAAUGAAAUCCUCCCAGACAGCAUGCCAUGCUUCCUAGAGGGAGACAAUACGAGCAGCACAGACACAGAACAGAAUCCUUGGGAUGUGGUAUUAUCCCCUGAUGGGGAGGGAUCCACAGGGGUCGUGGACAGAAGCAAGCUGCUGUGGGAGUCCAGCCUAACUCCCAUCCCUGAGGCCUUGGGGGCCCCAAGCACAGAGCACCCUGCUAGCUGUAACUGUGGACAGCUGGGCCCCAUAGCGCUCUUCUCUCUCCCGGAGGCCACAGAGUCUGUGACACACAACUCCUCCCAGGGUCUGUUGUCUGCCCACCACAGACAAAAUGAUUGGAGGAUGGACACAGAAGAGAGGAAAGACAUUGCUGAGCUGAUGAGUUCCUUCUCACUGAGGCCUGACUCUGCCAGACAGCUGUGGCCUAAGACUCGUGUGUGCCAGGCAUAUUACGGAGCUACCGAGGCAGGCCGGCCCACAUCAGGAUACUGGGGCCCUCCUCAGCCUUUCAGUCACACAGACCCUGGUGAAGCAAGGGUCCUGCAGCCACCGCAGCUAGACCUGGGUCCCACACAAGAGUGUGCUAGCCUGAAGCCUUAUUGUGAAUGGUCAGACCCACAGGCACUCACAGACAUGAACAUACACAUAGAAAAGCCAUCUCAAGCACAUCAGCAUGAGCACGUACAUAAAAAAAAACAUUUUCGCAUGAAAACAGACACAGACCUUUUAAUUCCCAGCAUCCAACCUUUUAAUCCCCCUCAAAAUUUUCUGUCCUACGGUAAUACCCUGGGGAUGGACUGAAGGAUCCUGUGGGGGUCAGGGGAAUGCUUCCUGGGAUUUGGAAAACAAACAAGUGUCCAAUAAAAGCUAAAAGACCCC